AGCAGCCGCGGUAAUUCCAGCUCCAAUAGCGUAUAUUAAAGUUGUUGCAGUUAAAAAGCUCGUAGUUGAAUUUCGGGGUUAGUAGGUUGGUCAUGCCUCUGGUAUGUACUGGUCUCACUGAUUCCUCCUUCCUUAUGAACCGUAAUGCCAUUAAUUUGGUGUUGCGGGGAAUUUGGACUGUUACUUUGAAAAAAU
rnacentral:rRNA from 1 species